rnacentral:rRNA from 11 species
ACUUUCAGCGGCGGAUGUCUUGGUUCCCACAUCGAUGAAGAACGCAGCGAAAUGCGAUACGUAAUGUGAAUUGCAGAAUUCAGUGAAUCAUCGAAUUUUUGAACGCAAAUUGCGCUCUUGGGUUAUCCUGGGAGCAUGUCUGCCUGAGUGUC